CUCAGUUCGGAUUGAAGGCUGAAAUUCGCCUUCACGAAGCCGGAAUUGCUAGUAAUGGCAGGUCAGCAUACUGCCGUGAAUACGUUCCCGGGCCUUGUACACACCGCCCGUCACACCAUGAGAGUUGGGAAUACCCGAAGCCUGUGAGCUAACUUUUAGAGGCAGCAGUCGAAGGUAGAAUCAAUGAUUGGGGUGAAGUCGUAACAAGGUACC
rnacentral:rRNA from 1 species